UUAAAAGUAAGUUAAUUUAAACUUUGGACCUGUGGAGUCCACAAUUCUUAAAGACUUUUGAG
rnacentral:tRNA from 1 species